rnacentral:rRNA from 1 species
GAUGAACGCUAGCGGCAGGCCUAAUACAUGCAAGUCGAACGGUGUCUUCGGACAUAGUGGCGCACGGGUGCGUAACACGUAUGCAACCUACCUUACAUUGGGAGAUAGCCUUUCGAAAGGGAGAUUAAUACCGCAUAAGACAGUAACUAGGCAUCUAGUAGCUGUUAAAGAUUUAUCGAUGUAAGCUGGGCAUGCGUCCAAUUAGCUAGUUGGUGAGGUAACGGCUCACCAAGGCAAUGAUUGGUAGGGGAACUGAGAGGUCAAUCCCCCACACUGGCACUGAGAUACGGGCCAGACUCCUACGGGAGGCAGCAGUAGGGAAUAUUGGGCAAUGGACGCAAGUCUGACCCAGCCAUGCCGCGUGCAGGAUGAAGGCGUUAUGCGUUGUAAACUGCUUUUAUACAGGAAGAAACGACUCUUGCGAGAGGCAUUGACGGUACUGUAUGAAUAAGCACCGGCUAACUCCGUG